AUUGAACGCUGGCGGCAGGCUUAACACAUGCAAGUCGAGCGGAGAGAGGUAGCUUGCUACUGAUCUUAGCGGCGGACGGGUGAGUAAUGCUUAGGAAUCUGCCUAUUAGUGGGGGACAACAUUUCGAAAGGAAUGCUAAUACCGCAUACGUCCUACGGGAGAAAGCAGGGGAUCUUCGGACCUUGCGCUAAUAGAUGAGCCUAAGUCGGAUUAGCUAGUUGGUGGGGUAAAGGCCUACCAAGGCGACGAUCUGUAGCGGGUCUGAGAGGAUGAUCCGCGACACUGGGACUGAGACACGGCCCAGACUCCUACGGGAGGCAGCAGUGGGGAAUAUUGGACAAUGGGCGGAAGCCUGAUCCAGCCAUGCCGCGUGUGUGAAGAAGGCCUUAUGGUUGUAAAGCACUUUAAGCGAGGAGGAGGCUACUUUAGUUAAUACCUAGAGACAGUGGACGUUACUCGCAGAAUAAGCACCGGCUAACUCUGUGCCAGCCGCCGCGGUAAUAC
rnacentral:rRNA from 1 species